GAUGAACGCUGGCGGCGUGCUUAACACAUGCAAGUCGAACGAUGAACUCCAGCUUGCUGGGGGGAUUAGUGGCGAACGGGUGAGUAACACGUGAGUAACCUGCCCUGGACUCUGGGAUAACCCCGAGAAAUCGGAGCUAAUACCGGAUAGGACCUUGAACCGCAUGGUUUGGGGUGGAAAGUUUUUCGGUCUGGGAUGGA
rnacentral:rRNA from 1 species